CUCCCGUAUACUGGGGGAUAACACUUAGAAAUAGGUGCUAAUACCGCAUAAGCGCACAGCUUCGCAUGAAGUGGUGUGAAAAACUCUGGUGGUAUACGAUGGUUCCGCGUCUGAUUAGCUUGUUGGUGGGGUAAUGGCUCACCAAGGCGACGAUCAGUAGCCGGCCUGAGAGGGUGAACGGCCACAUUGGGACUGAGACACGGCCCAAACUCCUACGGGAGGCAGCAGUGGGGAAUAUUGCACAAUGGGGGAAACCCUGAUGCAGCGACGCCGCGUGAGUGAAGAAGUAUUUCGGUAUGUAAAGCUCUAUCAGCAGGGAAGAAAUAGCGACCUUUGGGUCGCCAGACGGUACCUGAUUAAGAAGCCCCGGCUAACUACGUGCCAGCAGCCGCGGUAAUACGUAGGGGGCAAGCGUUAUCCGGAUUUACUGGGUGUAAAGGGAGCGUAGACGGCAGCACAAGUCUGAAGUGAAAUGCCGGGGCUUAACCCCGGAACUGCUUUGGAAACUGUGCAGCUAGAGUGCAGGAGAGGUAAGUGGAAUUCCUAGUGUAGCGGUGAAAUGCGUAGAUAUUAGGAGGAACACCAGUGGCGAAGGCGGCUUACUGGACUGUAACUGACGUUGAGGCUCGAAAGCGUGGGGAGCAAACAGGAUGAGAUACCCUGGUAGUCCACGCUGUAAACGAU
rnacentral:rRNA from 1 species